GAUGAAGAACGUAGCGAAAUGCGAUACGCAAUGUGAAUUGCAGAAUUCAGUGAAUCAUCGAGUCUUUGAACGCACAUUGCGCCCCCUGGUAUUCCGGGGGGCAUGCCUGUCCGAGCGUCAUUGCUGCCCUCAAGCACGGCUUGUGUGUUGGGCCUCCGUCCUCCUCCCGGGGGACGGGCCCGAAAGGCAGCGGCGGCACCGCGUCCGGUCCUCGAGCGUAUGGGGCUUCGUCACCCGCUCUUGUAGGCCCGGCCGGCGCUUGCCGACACAUCAAUCUUUUUUCCAGGUUGACCUCGGAUCAGGUAGGGAUACCCGCUGAACUUAAGCAUAUCAAUAAGCGGAGGA
rnacentral:misc_RNA from 1 species